rnacentral:lncRNA from 1 species
UGCCUCGCCCUGCUUCGGCUCGCACACGGUGCGCGCACCCACUGACCUGCGCCCGCUCUCUGGCACUCCCUAGUGAGAUGAACCCGGUACCUCAGAUGGAAAUGCAGAAAUCACCGUCUUCUGCGUCGCUCACGCUGGGAGCUGUAGACCGGAGCUGUUCCUAUUCGGCCAUCUUGGCUCCUCCAGGCCAAUUUACUUUCAAAAAUACCUGCAUCCAGGAACUCUCAUGCUAGCAGGAUGAGGUAAUGACUAUUUCCCAUACUCGUGUCAACUUUGAGCAAUGCUAGGAAUUUCCAUAUGUCCAAACAACUGUUUAUCAGGAAAUGCAACAAGGUACUUUUGACACUGAGCGUGAAAGGAACUCAUUGAACCAAAAUCUUCCAAAAAGACUGGAACAUAAGAGAGCGGAUGAAGAGCAUAAUAGAAGAGAAGUGCCAGGGAGGAGGAUUAUCUUAGGCAGAGCACACUGAGGAUGGAGAGUUACCAGCCCUCCCGAGCUGUCGUUGGCACUGAACCAAUGAGAGCCAUUCAUGUGCCUGUCUGUGCCUUGUGUUUUUCUUCUUCAACAUAUACUUUAGAACAUCCAUUCUGUGCAAAGCUCUGUGCCCACAGCUGUUGAGAUGCCAGAUGCAUGCUGUUCCCUGCCCUGAAGACCCCAGCAGUCAGGCCAGGGAGAGAAGACAUUCUUAGACAACCCAACAGUCGUCCCUGGGGAAAGGUCUGCUGGAGUUUGCUGGAGGUCCACUUCAGAUCCUGUUUGCCUGGGCAUCACCAGUGGAAGCUGCAGAACAGCAAAGAUUGCUGCCUGUUCUUUCCUUUGGAAGCUUUGUCCCAGAGGGGCACCUGCCAGAUGCCAGCCAGAACUCUCCUGUAUGAGGUGUCUAUCGGCCCCUAUUGGGAGGUGUCUUCCAGUCAGGAUACACAGGG